AAUACAAAUUGAUAACCCUGUCUCUUUGACUUUCGAGAAUAAGAUUCCUCAGAAAAAAAAAACAUUUGUCUCUCUCAGACUCUCAGUCUCUCUCUCUAAAUGUUUUGAUAACAAAGAUCUGAUGAAACAUGAUCCAUCAACACAGAUCGUUGAAGAAGAUCUGAAAAGUAUCACUCAAGACAAAAUGAAGAACUGGAGUUAAAGGAUCAAAAAACAUUGAUCUCUUCAGAAGUAAACGAAGAUUGGAAGAAACAUGCUUAAUAAUCACCUGAAACUGCUUUUUUAAAGAGAUAAGUCUUCCACUUUUCUCACAUCUUGCCAAACAAUUGUUUAAAAUAUAUUUCCAUUCAUAUUGAAAUGGUGGUAUCUGAUCUUUGUUUGAUCUUACUCAUUUUGUUUGAAAAUUUAAUAUAUUUACUCACGUGCCGGCUGUGCAGUAACAUUGGUUUAGGAAGAGCUUUAUUCAUGUGAAUCUAACCAAUAUCACAAAAACAACAAACCUGAGAAAAGAUAAGUUAAUGACAUAAAAGUUUUAAUGCCUACAAUGACUGUAAUAUAUUUAAUAUUUAUAAAAUCUAAACUGUUAACUAAUGUUUUCUCUUAAUUUUACAGUCAAGGUUUACAUAUUGUAUGAUGAUGAGAGCCAUGAGGCAAAGUCCAACCAAAUCCGUACAGUACACAUAUACAAAAAGUCAAGAGAUUUCAGGUUUAUUUGCUCCCAAGUGUGGAUUACUUUCACUUAGAUGUACCAAUCAGUUCUGUAAGGUUCCAGUUUUGAAAGUUGCACAAUGGAGAUAAGAAGCUAUUAAAUUUUUAUUUUGAAAGGCACAUAUUAUUUCUUGGAUGAUUCACUAAUUAGCUUGCAAAUGGAUUCUAUAACACAUGGACAUAUUGUUUUUAAGCGGCUAAUAUAAAUUAAAUUAAAAUUUAUGGUUUUGUAUAUAUGAAGAUACUAUAUAAAGUUACUAAAUACAUGUCUUUAUGCAAGUACUA